UACGUAGGGGGCAAGCGUUGUCCGGAAUCAUUGGGCGUAAAGAGCGUGUAGGCGGCCAGAUAAGUCCGCUGUGAAAUCUCGAGGCUCAACUUCGAGCUGUCGGUGGAAACUGUCUGGCUAGAGUCCGGAAGAGGAGAAUGGAAUUCCUGGUGUAGCGGUGGAAUGCGCAGAUAUCAGGAGGAACACCGAUGGCGAAGGCAGCUCGCUGGGACGGUACUGACGCUGAGGCGCGAAAGCGUGGGGAGCAAACAGG
rnacentral:rRNA from 1 species